AUGGAAAUGGAGGCUAAACAAGUUGUAUGGACAGCUCCGAUGACUUCCUUCAUGCUUGAACACCUAUGCAAGGUUGUGGGUGAUGGAGUUAGAACAUCAACUGGCUUCAAGAAGUGCCAAUUAGCUCGUUGUGCGACUGCUAUGAAUGAGCAUUUUCAGCUCAAUUCGACUCAUGCCAACAUUGGUAAUCACAAUAGGACAUGGAGGAGGAAAUGGGGAACAAUACUCAGACUUAGGGGGUUGAGUGGUGCAUUAUGGGAUGAUGAGCAGUCUAUGAUCGUUCUUGACCAUGAGCACUACACUAACCAUAUUAAGGUUUUUUUUUUGGAAAAGGGGGUUUACCCCGGCCUCUGCAUCAGAACUAACCAUAUUAAGGACCACAAAUAG
rnacentral:rRNA from 1 species